rnacentral:rRNA from 1 species
AAAGGGCCGCAGCUAUUUUGACUGCUGCAAAGGUAGCAUAAUCAUUAGCCUUUUAAUUGAAAGCUAGAAUGAAUGGCGUGGACGAGAAAUAAGCUGUCUCUAACUUUAAAUAAAUUGAAAUUUACUUUUAAGUGAAAAGGCUUAAAUAAAUUUAAGGGACGAUAAGACCCUAUAAAUCUUUAUUAUUUUAUUGGGGUGAUAUAAAUAUAAUAAAUUAACUAUUCUACUUUAACUACAAUAAUUUUUGAUUUUAAAGAUCCUUUUUUAAGAUUUUAAGAUUAAGUUACUUUAGGGAUAACAGCGUUAUUUUUUUUGAGAGUUCUUAUUAAAAAAAAAGUUUGCGACCUCGAUGUUGAAUUAAAAUAUCCUUAUGGUGCAGAAGUUAUAAAGGAAAGUCUGUUCGACUUUUAAAAUUUUACGUGAUCUGAG